rnacentral:rRNA from 1 species
UACGGAGGGUGCAAGCGUUAUCCGGAUUCACUGGGUUUAAAGGGUGCGUAGGUGGGUUGGUAAGUCAGUGCUGAAAUAUCCCGGCUUAACCGGGAGGGUGGCAUUGAUACUGAUGGACUUGAGUGCAGUCGAGGUAGGCGGAAUUGACGGUGUAGCGGUGAAAUGCUUAGAUAUCGUCAAGAACACCGAUAGUGAAGACAGCUUACUAGGCUGUAACUGACGCUGAGGCACGAAAGUGUGGGGAUCAAACAGG